AUCGUUCAUCCUCUAAUGAGGACGCAACAGUUUGCUGAAGGAACGGGAA
rnacentral:ncRNA from 1 species